rnacentral:rRNA from 1 species
AUUGCACGCUGGCGGCAGGCCUAACACAUGCAAGUCGAACGAGUGGCGGACGGGUGAGUAAUGUCUGGGAAACUGCCUGCUGGAGGGGGAUAACUACUGGAAACGGUAGCUAAUACCGCAUCCCAUCGGAUGUGCCCAGAUGGGAUUAGCUAGUAGGUGGGGUAAAGGAUCACCUAGGCGACGAUCCCUAGCUGGUCUGAGAGGAUGACCCGCCACACGGGAACUGAGACACGGUCAAGACUCCUACGGGAGGCAGCAGUGGGGAAUAUUGAACAAUGGGCGCAAGCCUGAUUCAGCCAGGCCGCGUGUAUGAAGAAGGCCUUCGGGUUGUAAAGUACUUUCAGCGGUGAGGCGUUACCCGCAGAAGAAGCACCGGCUAACUCCGUGCCAGCAGCCGCGGUAAUGC